rnacentral:lncRNA from 1 species
UUCUAAUAAUCCUUGAAAAUACAAAAAUAGUUCAACUCUAAUUUUUAAUUCUAUAUUAAUACUAAUAGUUUAUCAAAAUUAAUGUAAAAUUUUUAUAAGUAUUUAAUUUGAAUUUUUAUUCCUUUUUGACACAAUUUUAUACAUUUUGAAGCUCAAAAAUAAAUCCAAGACAUAGGCCCAACCUCAUAGCCAUUUCUCAUUCUUCUUUCAUUAUACAAAAAUACCCUACCAUACCAAUACUACAACAAUGGAGAACUAAAUAAAAAAAACCCUAAACACAAAUAUACGCAGCCACCGAACCACUAGCGGUAACACCACCACUGCCCAACAACCCUUCUUCACGAUCAGCCAGCCGCCGUUUACCUCCUUCAACACCAGCCAACGAUGAACCAGCAGCAACACCGUCCCCAACUUCCCAAAAUCAUAUAAGAAUUUCAGUUUCUUUUGAUUCUGUUAGUUCUCAAAUCCGAAAAAAAAAAUCUGUUUCUUCUUCUUGAAUUCAAUUGUGUUUUGCAGCAAUGGGGUUUUGAUUGAAGUCAUUUUGGGUUCGAGCUGAAGCAGCGAUCCAAGGUCUAUUCUUGGUCUUUGUCGCGGCUCCUUUAUUCGAUUUUAUCGCCGUUUCUCAUCAGAUGUUUGGGAUCGAAGGAAUGUAUGUUUGUUUAUUUUUUCCACUGUUGAAUAAAAAAAUUCAGUUUAACAGGUUCAUUUCUGUCUUUCUUAUCUCAUUCGAUUUUUGUCAGAUUUAAUUUUCCUUCCGUUACUUGGAUUCUGUUUCACUUUCGUGCUUAAAGGCUUAUGGGUUUGAAUCUGUUUGCUUGAAAAAUUGAUUGAAUGUGUGUGACAGCAUGGAUUAACUUUGUUUUUCAAAAAGUAACGUGAAGAAAUUUGAAGUUUUGUUGUUAUGGGUUUUGAACGCCGUAGGGGGUUUUGUCUGAUUCAAAAAGCAAAAUCACCUUUGAAACAGCCUCUCUGUCCUUUCGGGUAGGAGUAAGGCUUGUCUACAUAUUACCCUCCCCAGACCCCACCUGGUGGGAGUAUACUGGAUAGUUGUUGUUGUUGUACCUUUGAAAAAAUUGUCACGGCAAACAAUUGGAAAAGUUAUUACAAUUUUAGCUUUGGAUAAUUCUUUUAUUAGUUUUUUUUUUAAAUUUAUUUUACUAUAUCGUUCUUUGCUAAAAGUAUG